UUCUACCCGCGCGGGUUACCGGAGCCACCGGGGACCGUCCCCACACCGGUGGGAGCUGGCCGUUACGUCAUGUCGCAGCUGUCGCCGCCUGGUUUAUCCGCUAGGUUGUGAUGUAUGGAGCUCCCCUGCAGACACCUCCUAACCCUCCUGGCUUCAGACCAGAUUGUUCAACUUCCACUCCAGGCUUGUCAUUCUGGUGAAGGAUUUGAGCAAUGACUUCUUUGACUUCAGAUUAAAAAGAGAAAAGGAGCAAUUUAAGGCUGCAAUCUAAUAGUGCAUUGUCUCUAAAGGAGAAUCCUUCUGCUAGUAGCUCCCCUCAAACCUCUUGCAAGAAGGGCUCCUCUGCCUGCAAGAACCCUAGAGGUAUGAAGGUAGGUUUGUACACUUUUUACAUGGUGACAAAUACUGAUGCAGCUGUGAAAGACCAAGAGCCAUCUAUAACAAAGGAUUUAGGGGCCUAAUAGGACAUAGGGGGGAUGUAAGUAAAUCCAGAAUUGUGACCCUGAAAGCCACCAUUUAACUACUGCAAAAUAUUUAAUUCAAUUUUUUUUCAGAUACCCCUUGUUUAAGGGGUAAGCAGCAUAGCACAUAUGUCAUCUUCAAGUACAAUCAUAAUCCAGAAAGUGGCUGAGGGUUUUCAAGACUUUGCUAUCUAAGGUAGGGAUAUUGUAUCUCCUAAUCUGUUACUGAAGAGAUGAGGACUUCUAACUGAUGUGCUAAGGAUCUUCCUCUUACUGACUGUAUGAAGCGUCUACAUUAAACAGACUGAACAAUCUCUUAUAUCCUAAUUUGGGAGACUAAAACUGCCUUCCUGUAGUAUGCACCAUGCAUCAGAAAUGCCAGAUUCCUCUUUCUUGUAUCUAGGUGACUGUUCUCCAUCAUGCUGUUGUCAUUCAUCUUUUAUGCACCAGCCUACUGGGAUUUCCAUAUUCUCUGAUCCCUCUGAAAUAAGCCCAGUUUAGGGCUUUUAGGUAUGGUCUUAGAGGGCAUAUCUAGUCCUGAAUCCUAAAAAAGAUAUUUAUUCCAUGCAUACAGGUGUCUUUGUCCAAAAUGAGCUCAAUAGACUUAAUCUGAACUCCAGAUAAAUAUUAACUGUCAAUCACGUGAAUCCAUCAAAUAUUCCAUUCAAGGUUUGGUUUGUUGUUGUGCAUUUGUAUUUUUUGUAAUGAUGAAAAAAAAGAUAUAUUGUGCUCUGGACUAGUGUACCUGGUAAAAAUCCUUGAAUUACAGAAGUCCAGCUCCAAAUAUGUACAUAUAUAACUAUUCCCACUGUACGAGCAGGGUGCAGUAGCCUACAGUCACUGAUGUCUGCAAGUGCUUUUGUGUGAUGAAAGAUUGGAACUCCCUGAGCAGUUAUGGAAUCAACUAUUCUCAAGGUGGUGGUGCCUGGAGAGUGAAUAGUCCUAGGCUGAGGAAGACUAAGAACAAAGUGCUACACGUUCAUAUUUCUGCCACAUGCUGUGUUUCUAAUGUGUACUUGCUAGCUCUUUUUGUUCUGCUCAUCUUCAUAUAUUGUUCUGACUUGCAGGGCUUUAUGAUUGAAGAAUUAAAAAUCAUUUAUUUUAAACAUCGCAAUGAUCAAAUUGCUGGUGUGCAUAAUUAUUUUGUUCCUAAUGAACAUUCUAGGCUGUGGCAAAAUUUCUGCUGAAUUAGAUAUUCAUCUUCUGGAUGCUGUUUCAGGCUCCAGAGCUUGCCUGCAGUAAGGCCUGGUGCGUAGCUACUGCUUCUUUCCUCAUGAGAGGGGACUAGCAGCAAGUGGCUCUAACAAAACUUCAUGUUACUCACCAUUCAGGCUUUUGAAGGCAGAACAGUAUGGUCAGCUUGCCAGCUUUGAUUGUGGAAGAGAUGAUAGAAAGUGCGUUGGUUCUGCAGGCAGACUAAGCUACUACAUCUACUAAGCUGUGAGUUAUUUAUAUGGACUCUCCUUCAGUUUCUAACACCUCCCUCUUAUUCUUAUCAGGGAAAUUAUUGGUUGUCUAAUUGUUCCAGAAUUAAAAGUGCAGCAAAAUUUGUCAUUCUUUAAGAUCUUCACUAUCUCCAUGCUAAUUUCUGUGUAAGAGGGACCUGAACUUAAGAAAAAGCUGAAGGAAGAGUAACCUGAAGAGGCUGUGGUUCCUUAUGAACACUGAUUCUGAAAACAAAGGCAUGCAAAGUGCUCUACACUGAGGCCUGCCCUUUUGUUAGCAGCAUGAUGGUGCCAUGGCUUGCACCAACCUCAGUAAAGCAUUAUAUAUACAAGCUUAUUCACCACAGUGGAAAAAGCACUGCAGGAGUGCAUGGUCUCUCUACCCCUUCCUGACCAAUUUCCAUGUGGUUCACCACAUUUCCUUCACCAGGCAUACCAUAACCCCUUUUCAUUUGGUCAUGGAGCUUCCCACACAUCAGAGCCUCCAGCCCCUCUUGCAGCAGCCACAUGCUAAAUGGAGCAACUACAUUUUCAGAGUCCUGACAGUGAAAUAUGCUUGCUUGUUGUUAGAAAUACACCUCCUACUUCACAGAAAUAAAAGCUGUAUGUCACA